rnacentral:rRNA from 1 species
UCCGGCGGGUGCAAGCGUUAUCCGGAAUCACUGGGUUUAAAGGGUGCGUAGGCGGCGCAAUAAGUCAGAGGUGAAAGCCUGCAGCUCAACUGUAGAAUUGCCUUUGAUACUGCUGCGCUUGAAUCAGGUUGAGGUUGGCGGAAUGUGGCAUGUAGCGGUGAAAUGCAUAGAUAUGCCAUAGAACACCAAUUGCGAAGGCAGCUGACUGUGCCGGAAUUGACGCUGAGGCACGAAAGCGUGGGGAGCAAACAGG